rnacentral:rRNA from 1 species
UACGUAGGGUGCGAGCGUUAAUCGGAAUUACUGGGCGUAAAGCGUGCGCAGGCGGUUCUGAAAGUCAGCUGUGAAAGCCCCGGGCUUAACCUGGGAAUUGCGGUUGAAACUACAGGGCUAGAAUCUGGCAGAGGGAUGUAGAAUUCCAGGUGUAGCGGUGAAAUGCGUAGAUAUCAGAAGGAACACCCAGUCGGCAAGGCAGCUCGCUGGCCUACAACUGACGCUGAGGCGCGAAAGCGUGGGGAGCAAACAGG